rnacentral:lncRNA from 1 species
UCGCAGACGCCCUUUUAGACCUGGUGAUAUUUGCUUGAGUUUGUGUUUUCGAUAUCUUUUGAAUGGUUUGUGUAAUUGUCUCCAAACACAUUAUUUAUCAUCCUAUACUUUGAAUUGUUCUUUAGGAUGUCUGGAUAGAUGUUGGUAUAGACAGAAUGAUAAUCCAAGGAUGGUUGAUUGCACGUAAUAUAUUUUCUUUUUAAAAAACUUGCUGGUAUUUAUUUUUAUGUAUUUCGUUACUACUUUUUUGGUACUUACUGGUCUAGAAUUAUUGUUCUCUUCUUAGAGUUUAUCACCUUGAAAUUUUUUGUAUCAUUUGUCUCGUGGUUGUGUCUACAAAUACAAUUGUGUCAAUGGAUGUGAUUGUGAAACUUUCGCUAAGUUAGUCAAAUUUUGUUGAUCCCAAAAGCAUUAAUAUUAUAUAAUCUGAUUUCUACUCUACUUUUCUUCUUCCACAGGUUAUAAGGUUCCAUCUAGAUCGAGAUCCAACCAUUCAAUCUAUAAGAGCCAAUUUUAAUACCUCAUUUGAAAUCAUAAUAUAAAAUAAGGUAUGUAACAUUAAUAAUUAAUUUGUACAUCACAAAAGCUGUAAUUUCCCGUGUUGAUUUUAUGGAAUCAAUCUAUAUUUCAUUAAUAUCUCCAGAAUAAUAUCUCCUAAGAAUAAUCUAAUUAUAUUAAUAUCCCGAAACCAAUUUCUGGUUAACAAUUGGAUCUUUCCUCAAUUCUAACCGGUAACCCACCUCUCCAGCUAGCCGUUAGACCGGGAGCAAAACGAGCAAUCCGAUCGGUUCCCGCCAACCGGAUCUUAAACUUCCGAAUCAAUACCACUGCAACACAUUUCACAUCCAUCACCGCUAGCUCCUUCCCUAAACAGAC